rnacentral:rRNA from 1 species
GACGAACGCUGGCGGCGUGCUUAACACAUGCAAGUCGAGCGGUAAGGCUCCUUCGGGAGUACACGAGCGGCGAACGGGUGAGUAACACGUGAGUAACCUGCCCUUCUCAUCGGAAUAAGCGUUGGAAACGACGUCUAAUGCCGAAUAUGACAACGGAUCGCAUGAUCUGUUGUGGAAAGCUCCGGCGGAGAAGGAUGGACUCGCGGCCUAUCAGCUUGUUGGUGAGGUAAUGGCUCACCAAGGCGACGACGGGUAGCCGGCCUGAGAGGGUGACCGGCCACACUGGGACUGAGACACGGCCCAGACUCCUACGGGAGGCAGCAGUGGGGAAUAUUGGACAAUGGGCGCAAGCCUGAUCCAGCAACGCCGCGUGAGGGAUGACGGCCUUCGGGUUGUAAACCUCUUUCAGCAGGGACGAAGCGAAAGUGACGGUACCUGCAGAAGAAGGACCGGCCAACUACGUGCCAGCAGCCGCUGUAAAAC